rnacentral:rRNA from 1 species
GCCUACGGGGGGCAGCAGUAGGGAAUUUUCGUCAAUGGGCGCAAGCCUGAACGAGCAAUGCCGCGUGAGUGAAGAAGUAUCUCGGUACGUAAAGCUCUAUCAGCAGGGAAGAAAAAAAGUCUUUGGCUUUGGACGGUACCUGACUAAGAAGCCCCGGCUAACUACGUGCCAGCAGCCGCGGUAAUACGUAGGGGGCAAGCGUUAUCCGGAUUUACUGGGUGUAAAGGGAGCGUAGACGGCAGCGCAAGUCUGGAGUGAAAUGCCGGGGC